AUAAGCAUAUCAAUAAGCGGAGGAAAAGAAACCAACAGGGAUUGCCUUAGUAACGGCGAGUGAAGCGGCAACAGCUCAAAUUUGAAAUCUGGCCUCUUUGGGGUCCGAGUUGUAAUUUGGAGAGGAUGUUUCGGGUACGGUCCGGGCUUAAAUUUCUUGGAACAGAAUGUCACAGAGGGUGAGAAUCCCGUCUGGAGUCCGGACACGGCCUAUGUGAAACUCCUUCGACGAGUCGAGUUGUUUGGGAAUGCAGCUCUAAAUGGGUGGUAAAUUUCAUCUAAAGCUAAAUAUUGGCCAGAGACCGAUAGCGCACAAGUAGAGUGAUCGAAAGAUGAAAAGCACUUUGAAAAGAGAGUUAAAAAGUACGUGAAAUUGUUGAAAGGGAAGCGCUGGCAACCAGACUUGCACGUCGGGGUUCCCCCUUGCUUUUGCCUGGGUUACUCCCCGGCGUUCAGGCCAACAUCGGUUUCGGGGGUUGGUUAAAGGCCUUGGGAAUGUACUUACCCUCCGGGGUAAACUUAUAGCCCAGGGUGUCAUGCGACCUCCCGGGACCGAGGAACGCGCUUCGGCUCGGAUGUUGGCGUAAUGGUUGUCAGCGACCCGUCUUGAAACACGGACCAAGGAGUCUAACAUCUAUGCGAGUGUUAGGGUGUCAAACCCUUACGCGGAAUGAAAGUGAACGGAGGUAGGAAGCCGUUAGGCUGCACUAUCGACCGAUCCUGAAGUUUACGGAUGGAUUUGAGUAAGAGCAUAGCUGUUGGGACCCGAAAGAUGGUGAACUAUGCCUGAAUAGGGUGAAGCCAGAGGAAACUCUGGUGGAGGCUCGCAGCGGUUCUGACGUGCAAAUCGAUCGUCAAAUUUGGGUAUAGGGGCGAAAGACUAUUCGAACCAUCUGGUAGCUGGGUCCUGCG
rnacentral:rRNA from 1 species